rnacentral:misc_RNA from 1 species
AGAAUUAUCAAAAUCGGUACACCCAGUAAAAAGUUAUUGCAGAUUUUCAAGAGUUUCUCUCGAUUUCUCUGGGAUCCCAUCGUCAGAUCCUGGUUUCCUUAUCAUGGUACUAAACUUGGGAUAUCUUUUUUCCAACAAAGAAAGAAUUAUCAAAAUCGGUACAUCCAGUAGAAAGUUAUGUGGUAUAAUACAACGUAGGUCGACGAAAAAAGCGUCAAGUAAAAACGCAUUAUUAGAUAUAACUCGAAAAGUAGUCGUUAGAUCUCAAAUAAAUUUAAAUGGGACCAAUUGGCACACACCACCUUUCGAUUAAAACAAAAUUUGUCGAAAUCGGUCUACCCGGUCAAAAGUUCUGAUGUAACAUACA